UGACAGUACUCCGUACGGGAGGCAGCAGUGGGGAAUAUUGGACAAUCGGGGGCAACCCUGAUCCAGCCAUGCCGCGUGAGUGAUGAAGGCCUUAGGGUUGUAAAGCUCUUUCAGCGAGGAGGAUAAUGACGUUACUCGCAGAAGAAGCCCCGGCUAACUUCGUGCCAGCAGCCGCGGUAAUACGAAGGGGCUAGCGUUGUUCGGAAUCACUGGGCGUAAAGCGCACGUAGGCGGAUUGAUAAGGUUAGGGGUGAAAUCCCCGGGGCUCAACCUCGGAACUGCCUUUGAUACUGUCAGUCUUGAGUCCGAGAGAGGUGAGUGGAACUCCGAGUGUAGAGGUGAAAUUCGUAGAUAUUCGGAAGAACACCAGUGGCGAAGGCGGCUCACUGGCUCGGUACUGACGCUGAGGUGCGAAAGCGUGGGGAGCCAAACAGGAUUAGAUACCCUGGUAG
rnacentral:rRNA from 1 species